GACGAACGCUGGCGGCGCGCCUAACACAUGCAAGUCGAACGAGCGAGAGAGAGCUUGCUUUCUCGAGCGAGUGGCGAACGGGUGAGUAACGCGUGAGGAACCUGCCUCAAGGAGGGGGACAACAGUUGGAAACGACUGCUAAUACCGCAUAAGCCCACGGGUCGGCAUCGACCAGAGGGAAAAGGAGCAAUCCGCUUUGAGAUGGCCUCGCGUCCGAUUAGCUAGUUGGUGAGGUAACGGCCCACCAAGGCAACGAUCGGUAGCCGGACUGAGAGGUUGAACGGCCACAUUGGGACUGAGACACGGCCCAGACUCCUACGGGAGGCAGCAGUGGGGAAUAUUGCACAAUGGGGGAAACCCUGAUGCAGCGACGCCGCGUGGAGGAAGAAGGUCUUCGGAUUGUAAACUCCUGUUGUUGAGGAAGAUAAUGACGGUACUCA
rnacentral:rRNA from 1 species